AUCUAUGCCCGAAAGUUAAG
rnacentral:tRNA from 1 species